rnacentral:rRNA from 1 species
UGGGGAAUAUUGCACAAUGGGCGCAAGCCUGAUGCCGCCAUGCCGCGUGUAUGAAGAAGGGCUUUGGGUUGUAAAGUACUUUCAGCGGUGAGGCAGGGAGUAAAGUUAAUACCUUUGCUCAUUGACGUUACCCGCAGAAGAAGCACCGGCUAACUCCGUGCCAGCAGCCGCGGUAAUACGGAGGGUGCAAGCGUCAAUCGGAAUUACUGGGCGUAAAGCGCACGCAGGCGGUUUGUUAAGUCAGAUGUGAAAUCCCCGGGCUCAACCUGGGAACUGCAUCUGAUACUGGCAAGCUUGAGUCUCGUAGAGGGGGGUAGAAUUCCAGGUGUGGCGGUGAAAUGCGUAGAGAUCUGGAGGAAUACCGGUGGCGAAGGCGGCCCCCUGGACAAAGACUGACGCUCAGGUGCGAAAGCGUGGGGAGCAAACAGG